UACGUAGGGUGCAAGCGUUAAUCGGAAUUACUGGGCGUAAAGCGUGCGCAGGCGGUUUUGUAAGUCUGAUGUGAAAUCCCCGGGCUCAAUCUGGGAACUGCAUUUGUGACUGCAUGGCUAGAGUUUGGCAGAGGGGGGUAGAAUUCCACGUGUAGCAGUGAAAUGCGUAGAUAUGUGGAGGAACACCGAUGGCGAAGGCAGCCCCCUGGGUCAAGACUGACGCUCAUGCACGAAAGCGUGGGGAGCAAACAGG
rnacentral:rRNA from 1 species